rnacentral:rRNA from 1 species
AAAUUGAAGAGUUUGAUCAUGGCUCAGAUUGAACGCUGGCGGCAGGCCUAACACAUGCAAGUCGAGCGGUAGCACAGAGAGCUUGCUCUCGGGUGACGAGCGGCGGACGGGUGAGUAAUGUCUGGGAAACUGCCUGAUGGAGGGGGAUAACUACUGGAAACGGUAGCUAAUACCGCAUAACGUCGCAAGACCAAAGAGGGGGACCUUCGGGCCUCUUGCCAUCAGAUGUGCCCAGAUGGGAUUAGCUAGUAGGUGGGGUAACGGCUCACCUAGGCGACGAUCCCUAGCUGGUCUGAGAGGAUGACCAGCCACACUGGAACUGAGACACGGUCCAGACUCCUACGGGAGGCAGCAGUGGGGAAUAUUGCACAAUGGGCGCAAGCCUGAUGCAGCCAUGCCGCGUGUAUGAAGAAGGCCUUCGGGUUGUAAAGUACUUUCAGCGGGGAGGAAGGCGAUAAGGUUAAUAACCUUGUCGAUUGACGUUACCCGCAGAAGAAGCACCGGCUAACUCCGUGCCAGCAGCCGCGGUAAUACGGAGGGUGCAAGCGUUAAUCGGAAUUACUGGGCGUAAAGCGCACGCAGGCGGUCUGUCAAGUCGGAUGUGAAAUCCCCGGGCUCAACCUGGGAACUGCAUUCGAAACUGGCAGGCUAGAGUCUUGUAGAGGGGGGUAGAAUUCCAGGUGUAGCGGUGAAAUGCGUAGAGAUCUGGAGGAAUACCGGUGGCGAAGGCGGCCCCCUGGACAAAGACUGACGCUCAGGUGCGAAAGCGUGGGGAGCAAACAGGAUUAGAUACCCUGGUAGUCCACGCCGUAAACGAUGUCGACUUGGAGGUUGUGCCCUUGAGGCGUGGCUUCCGGAGCUAACGCGUUAAGUCGACCGCCUGGGGAGUACGGCCGCAAGGUUAAAACUCAAAUGAAUUGACGGGGGCCCGCACAAGCGGUGGAGCAUGUGGUUUAAUUCGAUGCAACGCGAAGAACCUUACCUACUCUUGACAUCCAGAGAACUUAGCAGAGAUGCUUUGGUGCCUUCGGGAACUCUGAGACAGGUGCUGCAUGGCUGUCGUCAGCUCGUGUUGUGAAAUGUUGGGUUAAGUCCCGCAACGAGCGCAACCCUUAUCCUUUGUUGCCAGCGAUUCGGUCGGGAACUCAAAGGAGACUGCCAGUGAUAAACUGGAGGAAGGUGGGGAUGACGUCAAGUCAUCAUGGCCCUUACGAGUAGGGCUACACACGUGCUACAAUGGCGCAUACAAAGAGAAGCGACCUCGCGAGAGCAAGCGGACCUCAUAAAGUGCGUCGUAGUCCGGAUUGGAGUCUGCAACUCGACUCCAUGAAGUCGGAAUCGCUAGUAAUCGUAGAUCAGAAUGCUACGGUGAAUACGUUCCCGGGCCUUGUACACACCGCCCGUCACACCAUGGGAGUGGGUUGCAAAAGAAGUAGGUAGCUUAACCUUCGGGAGGGCGCUUACCACUUUGUGAUUCAUGACUGGGGUGAAGUCGUAACAAGGUAACCGUAGGGGAACCUGCGGUUGGAUCACCUCCUUA